GCGGCGGGCGCGGGGCCGCCAUGAGGUAGGCAGGAGCCCCCCUGGCCGAGUGAGGCAGCAUGGCAAGUGGGAGUCGAGAGGAGGUGCUGAAGGUCUGACCCCUGCAGCAUUUCUGUCUCUGUGUGCUGCUUGCUGUGCAGGAAGGGCCUCCCCAGGGCUCUCUGGGCUGCCUGUCUGCUCUGACAUCUCUCAUCAGCAGUGCUCCUCGUGCCCAUGGCUGGCACCCUGGCAGUGCCCACCCUGGGGGCCACACUGCCCUGUGUGCCCGGUGGCAUCGGGGCUCUGUGUUCUGUGCAAGCUGCCGAGCUCAGCCCCACCCCGAGCUCGCUGUGCCACACCCAGAGCACUGCUGGGCCAGCACUAAAGAUGGGCUGAGCCUGGCAAGGCUGCGGAGGGGUGUGUGGCCUGUCCAGAGCUGGGCUCAAGCCUCCCUCUGGCUCUCCUGGGCAGCCUGCAUGGAGGCUGUGUGCCCUGGUGUGAUGGGAGCACAAGGAGGAGAUGGAGAGAUCUGUCUGGGAUCUCAGGAUUUGCUUGGAGUGCCACCAGAGCCAGCUGUGAAGGUGGAGGCAGUAGCCACGCUGGGGAGGAGGAGGACCCCAGGGAUGACAGUGGCCAGCUCAGCAUGGCAAAGCAGGGAAGGGGUCCAGUGACUGCUUUCUGCAGGGAUGGAUGGAAAACCCUGACGGUGAGAUCUGCAGCCAAGCCUGUUGCUCUAAGAUGUGCUGAGGAAGUUGAAAUCCAAGUCUCAGGCCCAAGGGCCAAGGAGGGGAGAGUUUAUACCACGGCCUGAUCAAGGUGGGAGGCAAAGGAGGUGAGGCCAGACUUCUCCAGCAAAGUACAGGACAUUUGCAGAGUGAAUGUUGUCUUUGUAAAAUUUCAUCUCCUUCUGGAAAGGCUCAAGACAAGGUCAGCCUGCCAGCCUGUUCCCUCUGCAGCCAGCAUAGCCCUCAACUGUGAAAGCCAAGGCAAGCUGAUCCCUGCCCUUCUGCAAGAUGCCUUCUGUGCCUCUUGAAAAUGCUUUUUCGGUUGUCCUUGUAAAAAGAAAAAAAUGGUUUGCAUAAUAAAGUCGAUUCUGAGGGAAGAUCUGUGACUCACAUCAUUCAUGCUGCUCUUCAUUCACACCUCAGUGGUUCAGCCCUCUGCAAACUCUCACAGAUGCAAGGCAUUAAUAAAUCACAAGGGGAAAAUGCACCUACACCGCACAAAAGCAGCUCAGUGCCUCCAAGCCCAGGCUGGUGUAGCACAGUAGUAGUUGUUUCUUACACUAUGAUCUUGUCCCUGUUGAUAUUUCCAAAUACUCCCACAAAUACCUUGCUGUAUUGCUUCAGCAGCAGGAUACAUGGAAGGUAAAGCAGAAGGAAACUUGCCUUUCUCCCUGGCAAAAGGCUCCUAAGGAGAGAAGUUGGUGGCUUUUCACUGACUGUUUUGCUUGUGGAGCCAGUAUUUUGUUAGCACCAAGCUGGUCAGAUGGGAGAUUGUGUCCCCCUGCCUCCUCUGCUCCUGCUGCUGUGUGAAUGGGUUCACCUUGUUGAUCCAGUGGAAGACUGAGCCUGAGGGUGAAGGAGGUCAAUAGGUUCCUGUGGAUCACCCAGCUGAACUGAUUCAUGCUCCCAAAGGAAGCAGCAGGAUUUUGUGGCUUGGUGAGAAGAGCUGGAAGCAGCCUGGAGCUGAGUGUGUUGAACUGCAUUGUGGAAACACUCAUUCAUGAAAUGUGUGUUUGGAUCCUGGAACGAUCAUGUUCUGUGUGAAGUUUCUGCUCUCUGAGCAAACAGCUUCUUUGCCUCCUGUGCUGCUGCAGGUCCUGGCAGGUGCUGGUCUCCUGCACCCCCUGGAGGUGUCCCUCCUGCAGGAUAUGGAGAGAGGCUUUGGUGUCCCUCUUGCAGGCAGGAGGGUGCUGUUCCUGCUCUGUCUGGCUUCAGGACUGCAUGCACUAUGGGAGGAUUUGAGGAAUCUCCCAGGUUUUGGGAGCAGAGGAAAGUUUGUGAGGCCUCUGCACCAAAACACAGUGGGGAUGAGAAUGUGCUGCUGUGUGAGGAGAGGUUGCUCAGGCCCCUGACUCACAUCCCCCUGUGCUGUCCCUGUGUUCUGGGGAUGCCUGCCCUUGUUCUCCUCGGCCUGGGAGAAGACAGUGGUUUCUCUAGGGCCUGGACAGAGUCCUUGGUGCCACCUGAGCUUGCAUGACCCUGAGCAGCUGGCAGCAGGGACACCAGCUCCCAGCAGGCUGUCCUGUUGAACUGUGGGCUCUGAGUCCCUCUCAGUGCUGGCCCCCUGUCCUGGCACAGCUCUGUG